rnacentral:rRNA from 1 species
GUGACAGCAGCCGCGGUAAUACAGAGGGUGCAAGCGUUAAUCGGAAUUACUGGGCGUAAAGGGUGCGUAGGUGGAUACGUAAGUCAGAUGUGGAAUCCCCGGGCUUAACCUGGGAACUGCAUUUGAUACUGCGAAUCUAGAGUAUGGUAGAGGUAAGUGGAAUUUCCAGUGUAGCGGUGAAAUGCGUAGAUAUUGGAAGGAACAUCAGUGGCGAAGGCGACUUACUGGACUGAUACUGACACUGAGGCACGAAAGCGUGGGGAGCAAACAGGAUUAGAUGCCCUCGUAGUCC